CCUGCCAUCGCCUGGUGAUAAGGGUGCCGGUCCUUCAAACCGGAACUUCGCGGGUUUGACUCCCGUUGGCAGGGCCA
rnacentral:tRNA from 1 species